GCGGGUGUAGCUCAGUGGUAGAGCGUCAGCCUUCCAAGCUGAAUGUCGGGGGUUCAAAUCCCCUCGCCCGCU
rnacentral:tRNA from 3 species